ensembl:lncRNA
UGUAAGUAUAUAUUAAAAAAACAAGGCAAACAAAAAAGGCUUGUUCUUCAUUCUUUUAUUAUUGAAUAUUCAAAUAAAAUUGUUUUUCCUUACAUUACUUAUGCUUGCUGUUCAAAGUAAUUGCACAUUUAAAAUAAUGCACUGACAAAAGACAAACGAGAAAAUUAAUAUAGUAUUUAAGGUUAAAGACAUUUUAAAGUACCAUUUUUUGUUGUCUAAAAACAGCUAAAUUGACUCACGUGCAGGAGGCAAGACUGCAUUUUACAGAAAAUAAAAACAAUAAUAAUAAGUGGAGCCCAUCAUACAAAAUGAUGGGAUCAUUGUUCUGUGGCAUUCUUUAAAAAUAUUAUAAAUGAAAAAAACCCAAAAAAUGUUAAUAAACAUUUUUCAUGUAAUAAACACUACUGGUCACAAACAGUCAUCUCAUCAACAUGAGGUAAAAUGGUAGAAUAUGGACUGUGACCAAAGUUUUUAUCAUGCCACCCUGCAUCCACAAUUAAAACUUCCUUGCAUGCUUGUGUACCAAAAUCCAAACUAGACUUUUUGUUUUAAAAUGAGCCAAUAUCCUUUGGUAAUUAUGUAAGUGUGUUUCUCAAAGUAAAUUAUAGGCUACUGCAGGAUGUCGGCUGUAACAUUUUGCUUAACAAAUCCCCCCAAAAAACUGCCACUAGUGCUGGAAACAACAACAACAACAACAACAUCCAGUUAUAAACUAAGUGGUAAACAAGAAGACCAUCUGUAAUCAGCACAUUAGGCAUGCAGCAAAAGUGCGAGUCAAGUGCUACAUGACUAAAUGGAAAAAAACUCCCCUGACCUUUUACAAACUGAGCAUGUGAGAGUGUGUGUGUAUAUUGCACACUGAUAAAGCCUCUAAAAUGAAGAGGCAAACUCAUCUGUAGUGGAUCAAUUAAAAAAAGGCAAUAAACAUUUCCACAAACCAAAAUUGGUCACUUUUGUGAUUGUUACAAGUGAGCGAAGGUUGUAACCUCUCCCUGAAAUUUCCAACAUUUACCUUAUCGCACAGAACACACCCCAAAUAUUUCCAUUCCAAAGCCAUGGCAGUCAGCAGCGACACCCAGCUGUAAAAUACAACAAGGGUCCUAUUUUUUCUACAGAAACUGCAGGGUGAGUUUUCAGCUUCGCCUUUAUGUAUGUGUCCAUAGUUCUUCCAGUACUGGGGUUCCUUUGGCCUCGGCUGACUUCUGAAGCAGUAGCAGCAGCAUGUGAACCUUCUGGUCCAGAGAUGUUGACACUUCAGUUAACUUCGUGUAUGGAAAUUAAUGGAUCUCAAUGUGGACCUGCACAAAACAAAAAGGAUAAGGCACUGAU